GAGGGUAUAGCUCAGUGGUAGAGCGCGUGCUUAGCGUGCACGAGGUCCUGGGUUCAAUCCCCAGUACUUCCA
rnacentral:tRNA from 1 species